CCUACGGGAGGCAGCAGUGAGGAAUAUUGGUCAAUGGACGAGAGUCUGAACCAGCCAAGUAGCGUGAAGGAUGACUGCCCUAUGGGUUGUAAACUUCUUUUAUAUGGGAAUAAAAUGUUCCACGUGUGGGAUUUUGUACGUAACAUAUUAAUAAGGAUCAGCUAACUCCGUGCCAGCAGCCGCGGUAAUACGGAGGAUCCGAGCGUUAUCCGGAUUUAUUGGGUUUAAAGGGAGCGUAGGAGGAUUGGUAAGUCAGUUGUGAAAGUUGGCGGCUCAACCGUAAAAUUGCAGUUGAAACUGGCAGGCUUGAGUACAGUAGAGGUGGGCGGAAUUCGUGGUGUAGCGGUGAAAUGCUUAGAUAUCACGAAGAACUCCGAUUGCGAAGGCAGCUCACUGGACUGCAACUGACACUGAGGCUCGAAAGUGUGGGUAUCAAACAGGAUUAGAUACCCCGGUAGUC
rnacentral:rRNA from 1 species